GUGGGGAAUAUUGGUCAAUGGGCGAGAGCCUGAACCAGCCAAGUCGCGUGAAGGAAGAAGGAUCUAUGGUUCGUAAACUUCUUUUGCAGGGGAAUAAAGUGCGGGACGUGUCCUGUUUUGUAUGUACCCUGAGAAUAAGGAUCGGCUAACUCCGUGCCAGCAGCCGCGGUAAUACGGAGGAUCCGAGCGUUAUCCGGAUUUAUUGGGUUUAAAGGGUGCGUAGGUGGAUUGAUAAGUCAGCGGUGAAAGUUUGCAGCUUAACUGUAAAAUUGCCGUUGAAACUGUCGGUCUUGAGUGCAAAUGAGGUAGGCGGAAUGUGUUGUGUAGCGGUGAAAUGCUUAGAUAUAACACAGAACUCCGAUUGCGAAGGCAGCUUACUGGGAUGCAACUGACACUGAUGCACGAAAGCGUGGGUAUCAAACAGGAUUAGAAACCCGUGUAGUCC
rnacentral:rRNA from 1 species